rnacentral:rRNA from 1 species
UCGCUACUACCGAUUGAACGGCUUAAUGAGUUUCGAGGAUUUGGUGCUUCAGGGGUUCUCUCCUGCUGGACUGAAAAGCAGAUGCAAAUUUGGUCGUUUAGAGGAAGUAA